GACGAACGCUGGCGGCGUGCUUAACGCAUGCAAGUCGAGCGGGAUCCAACCGGUGGCAACACCGGGGAAGAUCUAGCGGCGAACGGGUGAGUAACACGUGAGCAACCUGCCCCGAAGACUGGGAUAACACCGGGAAACCGGUGCUAAUACCGGAUGUCGUCAUUAGGCCGCAUGACCUGAUGAUGAAAGGAUUCAUCGCUUCGGGAGGGGCUCGCGGGCUAUCAGCUUGNGGGUGGGGUAACGGCCUACCAAGGCGACGACGGCUAGCUGGUCUGAGAGGACGACCAGCCACACUGGGACUGAGACACGGCCCAGACUCCUACGGGAGGCAGCAGUGGGGAAUCUUGCGCAAU
rnacentral:rRNA from 1 species